rnacentral:rRNA from 1 species
UACGAAGGGGGCUAGCGUUGUUCGGAAUUACUGGGCGUAAAGCGCACGUAGGCGGAUUGUUAAGUCAGAGGUGAAAUCCCGGAGCUCAACUUCGGAACUGCCUUUGAUACUGGCAAUCUCGAGUCCGGAAGAGGUUAGUGGAAUUCCCAGUGUAGUGGUGAAAUGCGUAGAUAUCGGGAGGAACACCAGUGGCGAAGGCGACUAUCUGGCUUUAACUGACGCUGAGGCGCGAAGGCCGGGGGAGCAACAGG